rnacentral:rRNA from 1 species
UACGGGGGGUGCAAACGUUGCUCGGAAUUAUUGGGCGUAAAGCGCACGUAGGCGGUCCUGUAAGUCGGGUGUGAAAGCCCCAGGCUUAACCUGGGAAGUGCACUCGAAACUGUAGGGCUUGAGUAUGGAAGAGGGUCUCGGAAUUCCCGGUGUAGAGGUGAAAUUCGUAGAUAUCGGAAGGAACACCAGUGGCGAAAGCGGCUUCCUGGUCCAGCACCGACGUUCAGGCACGAAAGCGUGGGGAGCAAACAGG